rnacentral:rRNA from 1 species
AAUGAACGCUGGCGGCAUGCCUUACACAUGCAAGUCGAACGGCAGCAUGACCUAGCUUGCUAGGUUGAUGGCGAGUGGCGAACGGGUGAGUAAUGCAUCGGAACGUGCCUUUUAGUGGGGGAUAACGUAGCGAAAGUUACGCUAAUACCGCAUAUUCUCUGAGGAGGAAAGCAGGGGACCUUCGGGCCUUGCGCUAGAAGAGCGGCCGAUGUCGGUUUAGCUAGUUGGUGAGGUAAAGGCUCACCAAGGCAACGAUCCGUAGCGGGUCUGAGAGGAUGAUCCGCCACACUGGGACUGAGACACGGCCCAGACUCCUACGGGAGGCAGCAGUGGGGAAUUUUGGACAAUGGGCGCAAGCCUGAUCCAGCCAUGCCGCGUGAGUGAAGAAGGCCUUCGGGUUGUAAAGCUCUUUCGGCUGGGAAGAAAUCGCACCCUCUAAUACAGGGUGUGGAUGACGGUACCAGCAUAAGAAGCACCGGCUAACUACGUG